CGGCAGUCCAGGUCCGGGGGCGCGGGGCGCGGGCAGCCACAGGUCCGCUGGGCUGGCGCCGAGCGCACUCAGGGUCCCGGGCAGCGAGAGGCCGCGCCUGUCACGGGCUCCGGCUCCACAAAGCGCAGGGAGGUGGCAGCGGGUGGCUCGGUGUGUGACCGCGGCCGCGCAGCGCGGGCCGCCGCUGGCACCGGGGGAGGAGGCUGGAGCGGCGCACGGAGCCCGGCCGCGGGCGGCUGCAAAAGGCGGCCUGGAUUGCCGCGCUGCCCGCUGGUCGCGCACUCCGGCCCCCGCCCGGGGACUCUGCGCCAGGCCUCCCGGUACCGCGCUGGUCUCUAGUUCCUUCCCCCAGAACCACAGGAAUAAAUCCUGGCAGCAAAGCACAGAAACUUCCUACCGCAGCGGGAGUGUGCAGGGAGCGCCCACGGUGCUGGGGCCGCGCGGGCACUCGGGGCCCUUCCCCGGCCCCUCCGUCUCUAGUCUCUAGUCUUCCCUCCCGGCGGGCACCGGCAGCGCUACCGCCGCACUCAGCCUCCCCUGGGCUCCAAAAUGGGAGGCUGGCCCCACGACCCUCGACCCUCGCGGUCCCUUCGACCCCCCGCGGUCCCUUCCGCCCCGGGAUUGUGGGCGGCUGCUCCUGCGAGGCCCAGGCAUUAGCCGGCACCUCGCAAGGCGCCGUUUCACAACUAAAUCACCGUGGAAGCUUCCCAGCCAAUAAAUCACCUGCCCACCGGGGGAGAGCCCUCCCACUCCCCGUGUUUGAGACCAGCCGGGCCAAUUGAGUGAGGAGCCAGACUUGGCCUGCAAGACAGAUCUGCAACCUCCCACUCCAUUCCUCGAGGCUCUGCAUUUUCAGAUUUCACCCCUUUCUAAGAUAUGACUCAUCACUGUCAAUUUUCACUAUAAUUCUUAUAGGUCAAAGGAAAAGUCUGUCCAGGCACAAAAAAAGCAAGCCCUCCUCCAGUCUGCAAGAGUGACCUCGGUUACUUAACAGAAGUAUCAUUCUAAUUACAACACGCAUCCUGGACUACGUGCAAGGCUUCUCCAUGGGGGACAUGGAGAGGAAUGAGGCUGCCCUGUCCUCAAGGAGCUCCAUGACAAACAGCAGGUAAGAUACAUGUGUGGAGGCAUUACAGACACAUCUGGGAUUUAAUUCAGCCAAAGGCACAGACUGUGUAGUCCAGAGCGCCUUCCCCAAGAUGGUGAGGCUCGCCCAGAUCACGAAGAACUGACAGCAUAUGCAGAGGUGGAGGGGGUUCGGAAGGCCCUCCAUGAAACAGAGGUGGUUAUAGGAGAGGAGAGUCUACACAAAGUCGAGGGUCAAGGGUGACAUCUGUAAACAACUGGGAGCCUCAGGGAUGGGUGAGGCCUAAGAAUGGAGUCCAGGACGGUGCAGAUCGCAGAUGGUGCGAUGGGCAUCUGUUGCCUUUGUUUGCCUUUCAAAAGCAGACAUUUUUCUCUAGCUCAGACUUCACCUACACUUUCUAUUCAGAGUAUCAUCCUUCACAGCCUCAACAUGGACAGUCACGUGUCCUAGACCACGGCCUCCUCGAGGCUCUCCAAUACACUCUCCAAGAGUAACUGUUUGGACCAAUAGGACAGAAGUGAUGCUGGUGGACUUCUGAGGCUGGAGUGUAAGCAAUACAGCUUUGGCUUGGCUCUGCCUCUGCAGACACACAGCGCUGAGCCACCAUAACACAAAGGCUGGCUCUCCGGAAGCCACCAGCAGUGCUGGGAGACCACACAGGGGUCAAGAGACGCCUAGAAGCUCCCCCUGUUCCAGCCCCCAGCUGCUGAGGCUUCCUGGCUCGGGCUCCUGAGUGAAGGCGCCUUCAAGAUGGCUCCAACCCCACCUACCAUCUGACUGCAACCUCACGAAAGCCCCUCAACUCAGAACCACACAGCUGAGCCACUUCUAAAUUCUCAUCCCACAGAAAUGGAGAGAUAAUAAAUGAAUAUUAUUGUUUUAA